CGCUGCUGCUGCUGCUGCUGCUGCUGCUGCUGGGGAGACGGUCACUUGACACAUUUUCUGCAGGAAGAAGAUGUGACAUAAAUAUGAAGAUUUCGAUCAGCGGAUGCGGAUGAAUGGAUCAUAAACCUCCGGAUUUCUUUUAACGACCAGACUGCAGAGGGGAAGUUUUGAUGCCUGUCUGGAAGAAAGGAGCUGCAACACCUUCAGGAGUUCACCAACAAACAAACGGAUGCAAUUAAACGCGUUCGCCUUCAGAUCAUCAAUGAGGAGAGCAAAGUCAAGACUGGUGGAAAAGGCGACAAGGACGAAUGGAAGACGGGAGAAGACUCCGCCGCCUCAAGGUUAAACUUGAACUGUGUUAAGAGCCUGACUUCUCUCUUGAUACUUCUUCUACAAACACACAUUAGUAGCACUUUUAUAUUAAACAUCCUCAUUUUACAACCUGAUAUAACUCUUAAUCGAUGUUAUAAUUUUGUAUGCUUGCUAAAAAAAAAACAUUUCUUUCCUACUGUCACACUGUGUUGGAAGUAAUCAAAAAAUAAUUUGAAAAUAAAGGCUGUC